AAUGAACGUUGGCGGCGUGGAUUAGGCAUGCAAGUCGCGCGACAAGGAACCUUCGGGUUCUGGAGGAGCGGCAAACGGGGUAGUAAGGCAUCGGAACGUACCCUCUUGUUGGGAAUAGCCGCGGGAAACUGCGAGUAAUGCCCAAUAAUCCCUACGGGGCAAAGGUCCGCCGCAGGAGGAGCGGCCGAUGUGAUACCAGCUAGUUGGUGAGGUAAUGGCUCACCAAGGCUUAGACGUCUAGGGGGUGUGAGAGCAUGGCCCCCCACCACUGGGACGUGAGAUACUGCCCACGACACCUACGGGUGGCUGCAGUCGAGAAUCUUCGGCAAUGGGCGCAAGCCUGACCGAGCAACGCCGCGUGCGGGAGUGAAGG
rnacentral:rRNA from 1 species